UUUGUGUUUGGCUCAUUUGUGAUCGUCACCAAUCGUCACACGCGUUCCAUGUUUUAACCUUAGAAGUUUGAUGCAUGAUUGAAAGGCGGCGGCUAGUAAUUAGUUUUCUAGGUCAUCCCAAUAAUAGAAGACAGUAGAAAUGAGCGAUGCUGAACUUCAAGAAGAAGAAAGAGAAGUAUUGCUCUCGAUAUACGAUGGAGACGCGGCGUUUAAGCAGCUGACACCCACCACAUAUCAGUACAAGUAUGGAGAGGAUGAUGACAUUAAAUCAUUACUUUUGGAGAUUUCUUGGGGACCGUCUUACCCAUCGGAAAAGCCAACUAUCAAUAUGAACACAUUCUAUAACAAGCAUAUUGUGCAAGAAGUGAAGGAUAAGGUGGUGGCACAUGUGGAAGCGGAAGCUGAACAGUGGUUGGGAUGUGCAAUGACAUACACGUUGUUCCAAUCUGUGCAGGAACAUCUUGCAGAUUUGUUAGCUCCACAGCCAGACACUAUAACAGAUCUUAAUGCUGAUACUAAUAAAUUGACGAUUACUGAUCAAAAUCAAUUGCAAGAGGAGCCAACGAAAAAAGUUAAAAAGGAACAACUGAGUAAAGCGCAAAAACGGCGACAAUGGAGUCGAGCAGAUGGUAAAGGUGAAAAACCACGUGGAUGGGAUUGGGUUGACAUUGUAAAACAUUUAUCUCAAACUGGGUCGAAGCAAGAACAAGAGUCAUAGUUAAAGAGCCCGAGUGGAUCGUCGUGUCCAAAUACUUGAGACCUAGUAUAUCCUUGCGAAGUAGUAAUACUUUAUCAUUAAGACCUGCUACCACUGCUGCAAUAUCAUCCAGAGUGGCAUCUUCAACCCUCGACCUCGUGGGGCACGGACAGAAUGACGAAUUUCCUUUACUGGACGUGUAAGAAGACAUGGCUGCAUGUUUCAAAGGUUCUUGGAUCUUGGUUAUGCAUUGAGAAGUACCAUCACUCUGAAGUUCGUCCCGUUUAACGUUUCACUCGUGGAGUGACAGGUGGAAGAAAACAGGGCUACCAAUACUCACGUACAAAAUCAAUGGCAAGACAUUCGUGGCUGCGAUAAAAUUUACGGAUUUCACAAAGGAGACAGGCAUCGACCAUAGUUCAAUUGGAUUCUGUCACGCUUCGUUGAGGAUUUUCGUAUAGAGGGAUGUCGCCAUGUCCAAUAGAGAUAUGAAUGACAUUCUGAUUCGCCUCAAAGAAAUUCAUAAGCUUCAGUCGAAGCUACGUAACAUGUUAGAAGACUGUUUAGUGAAUGACGAUAACGAUGAAGAUUUUUCAGCAAAUACAUCGUUAUCAUCGAAAACUGUGUCCUGGAAGACACUUGCCGAUGCUCACGAUGACUCCAGCAGUGAAGACUACCAGCGCAACCGGAAAUGGUUGAACUCGAAAUCCGACACGACUCUCCCUACGAGGCACGAUGCAACAAAGAGACAUCCGGUAACGAAUAAAAAGUUAAGUGAACGUAUAGCAAUGAUAUUAAAGUCUGAGAUUGAAUCAAAGACAAAUUCAUUAGAUUCUUCUACCCAUCUUCAAGGAUCAACUCGUAGUUCAAGCAUCGCAUCUGACGACAGCGGCUGUUCAGAAGUUACCGACGAAUCUCAAGCCUCCUCGAAGACGAUUCUGAACGUGGAUGCAUCUGUGCAAACAACAACGUAUGAAAAAAAGGCGAAGAGAACCAAAGGAUUUGUUAAAUGGAAGCUAGCGAAGUUACCCACAUAUGGUAGACAAACACGCCGGAAAAGACGAUUGAACAAAGCAUUAGAUAAGUUGUUGAGACGAAUAUUACGGCAGAUGAACUACAGUCCUGAGUACGAGGGUAGGGUCGUUGUUCCAUACCAUCAUCCAGGUGCGAAACCACGGCUCGUGCAAAUUGCGCCACGGGCUAUGAAUGAAGUCAGUGAGACGAGUCGAGUCAUUUCCUCAGCGAUAAAAGUUUCCGUUGAACGGCCACUGCCAUCUUGGAUCGAUCGUGUCAACAAUGCUUUUCGGAUGAAAUUAAAAAAUUGCAAAGAGGCGCCUAAAGGAAUACUAAAAGAUUUAACAGGUUCAAAGACCAAGGUAACAAAAGAUACAAAUUCAGCCUGGCAAUACUUCAAUUGCACUGACGAAGAGGCAUUAUUGGACCCGAACGAUUAUUCGUCGUCAUCGAUGUGCACUGUCAGUAGGCAGUAUCCAUUGAGAGCAAAUACAAAUCUAAGCUUGAGUAAAAGUAGACUCAGUCUGUUCAAUUUCCUGUGCAAGGUAUGUCCUUGCGUGUGUUUAGAGAGUGCGCCAUUGCGUAUACUAUACUGAAUUACCGAGUAAGACUUAUAUAUGCCAACCAAGUUACAUAUAACAUUUCCAAUAAAGGCCAACCUCUUCGACACUAAA